GUCUGAGCGCCCGGCGGAAAACCGAAGUCAGAAGGCUGUCUUAGCAGCACGCGGAGACGAAAGGGGUGCCAGCAUCAUGGCAGAACAGGAUGUGGAAAACGAUCUUUUGGAUUACGAUGAAGAGGAAGAGCCCCAGGCUCCUCAAGAGAGCACACCGGCUCCCCCUAAGAAAGACAUCAAGGGAUCCUACGUUUCCAUCCACAGCUCUGGCUUCCGGGACUUUCUGCUGAAGCCGGAGCUCUUGCGGGCCAUCGUGGACUGUGGCUUUGAGCAUCCGUCUGAGGCCCUGCAGGUGUCUAUGGCCUUGUCCGGACUCGGCCUCUUCUGAUUGCCCUCGCUGUGGGCCCCCGGUCAGCUGGUGAGGAUCCUGCACGGGGGUGCAUCCAGGUUCUCGUCCCUCACGCUCUGCUUCUCCUGCAGUCCAGCAUGAGUGCAUUCCCCAGGCCAUCCUGGGCAUGGACGUCCUGUGCCAGGCCAAGUCCGGGAUGGGCAAGACAGCGGUCUUCGUGCUGGCCACCCUACAGCAGAUUGAGCCUGU
rnacentral:sRNA from 1 species